GGACCCGCACAAGCGGUGGAGCAUGUGGUUUAAUUCGAUGCAACGCGAAAAACCUUACCUACACUUGACAUACUUGGAAUCUUUUGUAAUGAAAGAGUGCCUUUUGGAGCCAAGAUACAGGUGCUGCAUGGCUGUCGUCAGCUCGUGUCGUGAGAUGUUGGGUUAAGUCCCAUAACGAGCGCAACCCUCACCCUUAUUUGCCAGCGGUUAGGCCGGGAACUAUAAGGGAACUGCCGGUAAUAAGCCGGAGGAAGGUGGGGACGACGUCAAGUCAUCAUGGCCCUUACGGCCUGGGCUACACACGUGCUACAAUGGCUAGGACAGACGGCUGCAAACCAGCGAUGGGAGCUAAUCCGACAAACCUAGUCGUAGUCCGGAUUGGAGUCUGCAACUCGACUCCAUGAAGUCGGAAUCGCUAGUAAUCG
rnacentral:rRNA from 1 species